rnacentral:rRNA from 1 species
UACGUAGGGUGCGAGCGUUGUCCGGAUUUAUUGGGCGUAAAGGGCGCGUAGGCGGUCACGCACGUCCGUUGUGAAAUCGCUCGGCUCAACUGGGCGGGGUCAGCGGAUACGGCGUGGCUGGAGCAAGCUAGGGGGCAAUGGAAUUCCCGGUGUAGUGGUGGAAUGCGUAGAUAUCGGGGGGAACACCAGUGGCGAAGGCGGUUGCCUGGAGCUUUGCUGACGCUGAUGCGCGAAAGCGUGGGGAGCAAACAGG